rnacentral:rRNA from 1 species
GCCUACGGGGGCAGCAGUAGGGAAUUUUCGUAAAUGGGCGCAAGCCUGAACGAGCAAUGCCGCGUGAACGAGGAAGGUCUUCGGAUCGUAAAGUUCUGUUGAAGGGGAAAAAGAGCGGAGAGAGGAAAUGAACUCCGAUUGAUAUUACCCUUCGAGGAAGUCACGGCUAACUACGUGCCAGCAGCCGCGGUAAUACGUAGGUGGCGAGCGUUAUCCGGAAUGAUUGGGCGUAACGGGUGCGUAGGCGGCCGGCUAAGUCUGGAGUGAAAGGUACCGGCUAAACCGGUACAGGCUCUGGAAACUGG